AUAGAUCAUUCACCUCCAUACCACCUAAAAGAAGAAAGUUAAAGGCAGCAGUAUAUUUAUUUGUUGAGGGUUGUCACCAUGCUCCCUUUCCUUGCUGUGGGUGAGUGGAAGGAAGCUGCAAGAGGACCACUCACAGAGCUUGGCAUAUGCCCAUUAGUAUUUGGAGGAGGUAGCAACUGGUACCUGAUGCCUACCUGAAAAUGUCUAAUGGGAAAGAUCUGGCCAACCACUCUGAAGGCAGAGCAAGAGGAGUGUUCUACAUUCAGAGAAAGCCACUCUUCUACCAAAAGCAAGGACAAGGCCCCUAGGCAGAAGGACUUGCCUUGUCUCAGAUGAGACUUUGGACUUGGACUUUUGGGUUAAUGCUGGAAUAAAUUAUGACUUUGGAGGACUGUUGGGAAGGCAUGAUUUGUUUUAAAAUGUGAAAGGGACAUGAGAUUUGACAGGGGCUGGGGCUGGAAUGACAUGGUUAGGGUUUGUGUUUCCACCUAAAUCUCAUCUUGAAUUAUAAUCCCCAUAAUCCCCAUAAUGCCCACAUGUCAAGGCAGAGAUGACGUGAAGAUAAUUGGAUGAUAGGGACAGUUUGCCUCAUGCUGUUCUCACGAUAGUGAGUGAAUUCUCACAAGAUCUAAUGGUUUUGUAAGUGUUUGGUAGUUCCUCCUGCAUUCAUUCUCCUUCCUGCUGCCUGUGAGAAGGUGCCUUGCUUCCCCUUCGCCUUCCACCAUAAUCGUAAGUUUCCUGAGGUCUCCCAAGCCAUGUGGAACUGUGAGUCUAUUAAACCUCUUUCCUUUAUAAACU
rnacentral:lncRNA from 1 species